AUUGAACGCUGGCGGCAGGCCUAACACAUGCAAGUCGAGCGGGGUUUUCGGACCUAGCGGCGGACGGGUGAGUAAUGCGUAGGAAGCUACCCGAUAGAGGGGGAUACCAGUUGGAAACGACUGUUAAUACCGCAUAAUGUCUACGGACCAAAGUGUGGGACCUUCGGGCCACAUGCUAUCGGAUGCGCCUACGUGGGAUUAGCUAGUUGGUGAGGUAAUGGCUCACCAAGGCGACGAUCUCUAGCUGGUUUGAGAGGAUGAUCAGCCACACUGGAACUGAGACACGGUCCAGACUCCUACGGAGGCAGCAGUGGGGAAUAUUGGACAAUGGGCGCAAGCCUGAUCCAGCCAUGCCGCGUGUGUGAAGAAGGCCUCGGUGUAAGACGACUUCUAGCGAGGAGG
rnacentral:rRNA from 1 species